rnacentral:pre_miRNA from 1 species
CGUGUGCGUCUGUUGCUGGAUGCGCUUGAUCGUGGCGCCCUUGGGCCCCACCACGAGCCCCACCACGCGGUACGGCACCCGCA